AAUGAACGCUGGCGGCGUGCUUUACACAUGCAAGUCGAGCGAGGCGGCCCGCAAGGGCUAGUCGAGCGGCGAACGGGUGAGUAACGCGUGGAUUAUCUGCCCUGAGGUGGGGGAUAACCCGGGGAAACUCGGGCUAAUACCGCAUAUGACCGUGAGGUCAAAGGGGGGUCGCAAGAUCUCUCGCCAUAGGAGGAGUCCGCGUACGAUUAGCUAGUUGGUAGGGUAAUGGCCUACCAAGGCGACGAUCGUUAGCCGGCCUGAGAGGGUGAUCGGCCACACUGGAACUGAGACACGGUCCAGACUCCUACGGGAGGCAGCAGUGGGGAAUUUUGCGCAAUGGGCGAAAGCCUGACGCAGCAACGCCGCGUGGAGGAUGAAGGUCCUUGGAUUGUAAACUCCUGUCAGCAGGGAAAAAGCAACCUGACCUCAUACGUCAGGGAGUUGAUUGUACCUGCAGAGGAA
rnacentral:rRNA from 1 species